GCCUGGGUGGCCCAGUCGGUUGAGCGUCUGACUUCGGCUCAGGUCAUGAUCUCACGGUUUGCGAGUUCAAGCCCCGCGUCAGGCU
rnacentral:tRNA from 1 species